rnacentral:rRNA from 1 species
AUUGAACGCUGGCGGCAGGCCUAACACAUGCAAGUCGAACGAGUGGCGGACGGGUGAGUAAUGUCUGGGAAACUGCCUGAUGGAGGGGGAUAACUACUGGAAACGGUAGCUAAUACCGCACACCAUCAGAUGUGCCCUGAUGGGAUUCGCUAGUUGGUGGGGUAACGGCUCACCAAGGCGACGAUCCCUAGCUGGUCUGAGAGGAUGACCUGCCAAACUGGAACUAAGACACGGUCCAGACUCGUACGGGAGGCAGCAGUGGGGAAUAUUGCACAAGGGGCGAAAGCCUGAGGCAGCCAUGCCGCGUGUAUGAAGAAGGCCUUCGGGUUGUAAAGUACUUUCAGCGGGGAGGCGUUACCCGCAGAAGAAGCACCGGCUAACUCCGUGCCAGCAGCCGCGGUAAUUC